UACGUAGGGUGCGAGCGUUAAUCGGAAUUACUGGGCGUAAAGCGUGCGCAGGCGGUUUUGUAAGUCAGAUGUGAAAGCCCCGGGCUUAACCUGGGAAUGGCAUUUGGGACUGCAAGGCUUGAGUGCGGCAGAGGAGACUGGAAUUCCCGGUGUAGCAGUGAAAUGCGUAGAUAUCGGGAGGAAUACCGAUGGCGAAGGCAGGUCUCUGGGCUGACACUGACGCUCAUGCACGAAAGCGUGGGGAGCAAACAGG
rnacentral:rRNA from 1 species